GGCCCAAGUUACUCACAUUUCUGCCCAGCUGACUACAAAUUCUGUUUUCCAUGACCCCCUCUCAGGUUUGAUAGUUUGCCAGAACAACUCACAAAGUGAAGGAAAAUGGUGUACUUACUAUUACUGGCUUAUUAUAAAGGCUACAACUCAGAAACAGCCAAACAGAGGAGUUGCACAGAGCAAGGUGACCAGUCCGCAUCCUGAUACUAUCUCGGAGUCCCCCAGCCAAGAAUCAUCUCAUCAGCAUAAACUCAGGCAAUGCUGAAAGGCAUUGAGAAUGGUACUGGUCAUGUAACAUCCUCAGGAAAAUGGAGAAAGGAGUCACAUCACCUUUUGUGUUUGGAGACUGCUAUAUAAGCCAGAAUACUAGUCACACAGUGCAGGUGGGAGUGGCAGGGAAGUAACCUCCUUUUUUUUUUUAGACUGAUACAUUUAUGGUAUACACCUGAA
rnacentral:antisense_RNA from 1 species